rnacentral:lncRNA from 1 species
UAAAGUACAGUUUAUUUUCAUUUAUAUUAUCUAACAACUAUUUCUAAGGAAAAUCUCUAACCAUAUGACAUUCUCCUUGACACGGAUAACAUCUCAUCUAUCUGGUAGCACAUCUUCCAAAUUUAUUUGUCUUACAUCACUGUCAUAAAGGAUGUUGAACUGGCCUUGCAUUAUGUCCUAGCCUUUCCUUAAAAGGUUGAGGCUUAGGCCUAAACUGAUGACAUGGUUUUCCUUGGUCCUUUGGACCAACUCUAUAUUGAUCCCUCU